rnacentral:tRNA from 1 species
GCGCCUGUAGCUCAGUUGGAUAGAGCGCUGCCCUCCGAAGGCAGAGGUCUCGGGUUCAAAUCCUGUCAGGCGCACUA